UAUAUACAGUCUGCCAGCCGCUGAUAGUGGAGAGACGAAGAAGACGCUGCAGAGCUCAGUCUGUCGCUGUCUCCCUCGGUGGGAACUCUGGAGACUUUAAUGGUCACUUUUAACACCACGUCCUGAUUGGCCCUGAUUCCACUGAGGUCUUCAAACCAGUGACAUCACUGCUCGUCUGGACUUAAAUAAGGUACUGAUCCUCAGACACUGACAUCAUCUGCCUGUUGUCUCUCUUUCAUUGUGUAUAUGUUUUAAAGAAUUCUCGUCUUUGCUCUGACUUUCAAAUAAAACUCUGAAUUUUAAA